AAUUGAUAAAAUGAACCGGCGGAACUGGCGAUGAAAAUGAUGAUGAUGAAAACAUCUCUAUAAGAUCAUCUAUAAACCGCAAAUGACAAUAUACACACAUACAUAAUACAGAAAAGACAAUAACCAUUUUUAAGAAUUUGAAAUUCAUAUUCAUCAUCGUAGAAAAACUAUUGGACAAACCUUAUGACAAAAUGGACAAGCAACAAUUCCAAUUUCGGGC